UGAUAGCAAUGAAGCGUGAGGUUGCUGCGUAAUGCAGGUUUUCCGCGGAGCGAAUGUCAAGGCCGGUUAAUCC
rnacentral:ncRNA from 1 species